GUUAACGUCUCCAAAUAUUUGAAUGUUCAAAUUUAUAUUUACAACUUUGAUUUGGAUUUUACUUUGCACUAUGUGCAAAAUAUUAGAGAAUGUUUAUAAUGACCGAUAUAAAAUUCUCUUUUCACUUUCAGCGAUGACGAAAAGUAAAAAUACAUAAAUUUACCGAAAGACAUACGUAAAUAUUAAACACAAAAGCUGUUUUUUUUUAAUAGUGUCAUCUGAUUAGGGAAUUCCGUGAAAGCCAGAUUCUAUAUCUAAGCAUCUGUAAUAUCGGGCUCUGCCUAAUCUCUAAAUUUGGUCUGCUAAUAUCUCUAACCGCACUUGAAUUCAACACGCAAAGAUCAACGCAAAGUUGGUUCGUCCCGUUCUUUUUCUCGAUUCAUAAAAUUCAUAUCUUAUUAUGACUUUCUCGAAUUAAUUGACAAUUUUAAUAGUUUUAAAAAGUCUUAUACCUUUCUUUGAACAAUUAAUUACAUAUUUUGUUGUAGUAAGUUUAAUAAAUGAACAAUACUUAAUAGUUUAAUUUAGCGAGUUACAUUCGUCAUUUUGACGGUAGUAGCAAUUUUACUCUAGAUGACCCACACAACGGCAGAAAUCUCAUUUAAUAAACUGUGCCAUGAAAACCGGUAUUAUUGUUACUGAAUUAUGACGAAAUAACGUUAUGCUUAGACGGAUUUCUCACUUUGCAGUCCCGGUAACGCGACAACGACAAACGACCCGGUUUAAGAAAGUGAAACGAACGAAUUGAUCUUUUGAAGAUACUAUAACACGGGAUCUUUGUAAUAUCAUUAUAUUUACUCUACUUUCGAUUUUACGCCUACGAAAUAUUAUAAGAACUGAUAAGAAUUUAUUUAGUGAAUCGGAGGUAAUUCUCAGUUACUCAGAUCGAAAAAACUCAGGGUAAAUACCUGUGAUCACCGCAACCAUUACCUCGGCGUCGGUAGCUUCUGGACGAAUCCUCUUAAAAAGCGCCCAUGCCGUUGUAGCGUACUCUGCGUAGGAAUUCGCUUGCUCGGAAGUGUAGUUGCGCCAUUUCUGCACGUCAUCUGCGUACCGAAAUUCGUUGCCAAACGUAUGGAUCAGCUCCUCCUUCACUUGCUCCCAGGUGGUUGAAUGCAGAGACCAGGUGUCAGCCCAUGUUUUGGCUCGUCCUCUUAACUGCAAAAUGGCCUUCAUUCGAGCUUCAUGUGGAGGGACCAUCAGCUUCGUGAUAGUUUCGUCUACGUUAGCGCACCAGUCCCUGAUGUCGUGCGAUCUCUCAUCAGGGUUAAACGGAGCGCUUGUCGCGGCAGUCUUCGUAAUGGAGGUCAAGAGACCCAUCACUUGUUCCAUAGUGAAGGUCGUGUCGUUUGAAGAGUCCGAAGUCUCUUGGGGAUGUGAUCCCACCGCUGCUGUCGGCGUUCCGCCAUAAUUAUCACGUCCAGACUCCAUUAUAAUGAAAACACACAACUAGUAUCACUUGAUUUAUUUAUCACACGAUUUUAGCACAAUAACUAACUCAAAAUGCGAGCUGCCAUCUUAUUUAUACAAACCAACUGUCGUUUUAAAUUUUAACGUUUAACAACUGUAAAUUCAUGUAAUCAAAAUUACUGUACAAUUAAUUACGAAAUAUAGUUUAAAAAUCAACAUUAAUAUUAUAAUGAAUUUUACAUAAUUCCAAAUGAUUUAUUUUACACAAAUUACUUUACUUUACAAUUUAUUUUAAUAACAAAACGACCAUUAAUAAUAACAAAGUUCGUCGACAGAUGGCGUUAUUUACAAAUAUAAACAUGGUAAUUAUUACACAGAAUAAUGUGUUUAGAAUAACAAAACGACCAUUAAUAAUAACAACGUUCGUCGACAGAUGGCGUUAUUUACAAAUAUAAACAUGGUAAUUAUUACACAGAAUAAUGUGUUUAGAAU